UUAUGCAAGUAGAUAAGCUCA
rnacentral:miRNA from 1 species